rnacentral:rRNA from 1 species
AAUCAGGGUUCGAUUCCGGAGAGGGAGCCUGAGAAACGGCUACCACAUCCAGGGAAGGCAGCAGGCGCGCAAAUUACCCAAUCCCGACACGGGGAGGUAGUGACAAUAAAUAACAAUACAGGGCUCUUUAGGGUCUUGUAAUUGGAAUGAGUACAAUUUAAAUCCCUUAACGAGGAACAAUUGGAGGGCAAGUCUGGUGCCAGCAGCCGCGGUAAUUCCAGUUCCAAUAGCGUAUAUUAAAGUUGUUGCAGUUAAAAAGCUCGUAGUUGAAUUUCGGGGUUCUACCGUUGGUCGGGUUUUGUCUGUACUGACGUGUAGAAUUUCUACCUUCUGGGGAACCAUUAUGUUAUUAAUUUAGCGUAGUGGGAAACCAGGACCUUUACCUUGAAAAAAUUAGAGUGUUCAAAGCAGGCUUAUGUCUGAAUACAUUAGCAUGGAAUAAUAGAAUAGGACGGUGGUCCUGUUUUGUUGGUUUCUGAAUCACCGUAAUGAUUAAUAGGGAUAGUUGGGGGCAUUAGUGUUCAAUUGUCAGAGGUGAAAUUCUUGGAUUUAUUGAAGACUAACUUCUGCGAAAGCAUUUGCCAAGGAUGUUUUCAUUAAUCAAGAACGAAAGUUAGGGGAUCGAAGACGAUCAGAUACCGUCGUAGUCUUAACCAUAAACUAUGCCGACUAGGGAUCGGACGAUGUUA